GAAUUGCUAGUAAUCGCGAAUCAGAAUGUCGCGGUGAAUACGUUCCCGGGCCUUGUACACACCGCCCGUCACACCAUGAGAGUCGAUAACACCCGAAGCCUGUGAGCUAACCGCAAGGGGCAGCAGUCGAAGGUGGGGUUGAUGAUUGGGGUGAAGUCGUAACAAGGUACC
rnacentral:rRNA from 1 species